UACAGAGGUCCCAAGCGUUGUUCGGAUUCACUGGGCGUAAAGGGUGCGUAGGUGGUGAGGUAAGUCGGAUGUGAAAGCUCGGAGCUCAACUCCGAAAUGGCAUUGGAAACUACCUUGCUCGAGGGUUGGAGGGGGGACUGGAAUGCUUGGUGUAGCAGUGAAAUGCGUAGAUAUCAAGUGGAACACCAGUGGCGAAGGCGAGUCCCUGGACAACUCCUGACACUGAGGCACGAAAGCUAGGGGAGCAAACAGG
rnacentral:rRNA from 1 species